rnacentral:misc_RNA from 1 species
UACCAAGAGGAGAGAAGGGGGA